AUAAUACUCCAUAGUCCAUGGAAUCUGGAAUGAUCCAUGGAUGAAAGUUCCGGCGCUAAGGGAUCGGUCUGCGGCCUAUCAGGUUGUAGUGGGUGUAACGUACCUACUAGCCGAUGACGGGUAUGGGCCUUGAGAGAGGGAGCCCAGAGUUGGAUUCUGAGACACGAAUCCAGGCCCUACGGGGCGCAGCAGUCGCGAAAACUUCACAAUGGGGGCAACCCCGAUGAGGGAAUUCCUAAUGCUAGCACAUUUGUGUUAGCUUUUCUUUAGCGUAGAUAACUAGAGGAAUAAGGGCUGGGAAAGACGGGUGCCAGCCGCCGCGGUAAUACCUGCAGCCCAAGUGGUGGUCGAAAUUAUUGAGUCUAAAACGUUCGUAGCCGGUUCGGUAAAUCUUUGGGUAAAUCGGAGGGCUUAACCUUCCGACUUCCGAGGAGACUGCCGAACUUGGGACCGGGAGAGGCUAGAGGUACUUCUGGGGUAGGGGUAAAAUCCUGUAAUCCUAGAAGGACCACCGGUGGCGAAGGCGUCUAGCUAGAACGGAUCCGACGGUGAGGGACGAAGCCCUGGGUCGCAAACGGGAUUAGAUACCCCGGUAGUGGCAGGGUGUAAACGCUGCAGACUUGGUGU
rnacentral:rRNA from 1 species